UUUGAUAAAAAUUAUCUUAUCGAGCAACACUGUUUAGUUGCUACGAGCUAGUUUCCAAGGAGUCCCAAUACAAAUAAACAAAUAGUAUGCCACCGGAAUAAACGGGGGUUUGCUGCAGAGCAAAGUCGGUGUCCAAUCUCUGCAAAUUCACGGAAAAUCUUAUCAAUAAAGACUUCAUCCAGAAAAAAUGUCGAAUAUGACCUCCAGCCUUAGAUGGCUGACAUGAACGACAUCACUAGCUUGGAACAUUUCCGCCGAAAAAGGAAACAUUACCGCCUGAUAGAUUUGGUGUGUUAAUCAAACAUUUCUAUGUCGUUGGCUGAUUCGAUGGAGUAAAGUAGAAGGUCGGUUUCAGGUUUCCCAUUGCUAAAAAAAUUACCAAACGGAUUCAAAUAGUUGACACAGUCGGAAAAUUCCGAUGCAAUGAGAUAUUGUAAGCUAAAUGGCGUAAUGGAAAACCGACCGACUUUCUCAAGGGUUUAAUACACUUAUCUUGAAAAUCAGAUACAUAAUCCACAUAUCGGUACUAACAUGUGAUCAGGGCAUAUCAUGCAAUAUGCCCUUUCGAAAGUUACGAAAAAUAAUGCUCAUUACUCAAGUUUUAAACAUAAAAUUCAAGCAUAUUGCGCACAAUUAGAUUGGACUUCUAUCGACGUCCAAGGUUGUAGAGCCGAGCAAUGAGCAUUAUAUUUUGUAACAUUCGCAAGGGCCUAUCGUGCGAUAUGCCCUAAUCACAUUUUACUACCGAUAUGCUAAGGACGUUUUGUUUAUCACUGUCCUCUGGAUUAUCACACUCAUUUUCGAUACACCUGACAAACCAACGUUCGCGUCAUAUCUUUUGACUAAUGCACUGAAAAGUUAAUGAUAACCUAAUGAUUUUAACUCGGAUUUUUAUUACUACAAGAAAUAAAAUGUUGAACUGAUUUCAUUA